CUGAUGCAGCGACGCCGCGUGAGGGAUGACGGCCUUCGGGUUGUAAACCUCUUUCACCAGGGACGAAGCGCAAGUGACGGUACCUGGAGAAGAAGCACCGGCCAACUACGUGCCAGCAGCCGCGGUAAUACGUAGGGUGCGAGCGUUGUCCGGAAUUACUGGGCGUAAAGAGCUCGUAGGUGGUUUGUCGCGUUGUUCGUGAAAACUCACAGCUCAACUGUGGGCGUGCGGGCGAUACGGGCAGACUGGAGUACUGCAGGGGAGACUGGAAUUCCUGGUGUAGCGGUGGAAUGCGCAGAUAUCAGGAGGAACACCGGUGGCGAAGGCGGGUCUCUGGGCAGUAACUGACGCUGAGGAGCGAAAGCGUGGGGAGCGAACAGGAUUAGAUACCCUGGUAGUCCACGCCGUAAACGGUGGGUACUAGGUGUGGGUUUCCUUCCUUGGGAUCCGUGCCGUAGCUAACGCAUUAAGUACCCCGCCUGGGGAGUACGGCCGCAAGGCUAAAACUCAAAGAAAUUGACGGGGGCCCGCACAAGCGGCGGAGCAUGUGGAUUAAUUCGAUGCAACGCGAAGAACCUUACCUGGGUUUGACAUGCACAGGACGUGCCUAGAGAUAGGUAUUCCCUUGUGGCCUG
rnacentral:rRNA from 1 species